rnacentral:sRNA from 2 species
CGAGCACCUCGUUAGGCGAGGCGGCUGCGCGGACAUAGGCCACUGACCUUGAACGUCGAGAGACGCCACAGGUCAGGACAGCUCCUCCCGGCUUAAGGGUUGAGCCCAAGUGGCUUCCGGUUCUCCGGACACGCCGUGCAGUGUCGAAGCCAAAACGAGUGGGGUGCGGU